rnacentral:rRNA from 1 species
CGGCGAGUGAAGCGGCAAAGCUCAAAUUUGAAAUCUGGUACCUUCGGUGCCCAAAUUGUAAUUUGAAGAUAGUUUUCUGGUGCUGGCCCUUGUCUAUGUUCCUUGGAACAGGACGUCACAGAGGGUGAGAAUCCCGUCUGGCGGGGUGUCCAGUGCUUUGUAGAUUUCUAUCGACGAGUCGAGUUGUUUGGGAAUGCAGCUCUAAGUGGGUGGUAAAUUCCAUCUAAAGCUAAAUAUUGGCGAGAGACCGAUAGCGAACAAGUACAGUGAUGGAAAGAUGAAAAGAACUUUGAAAAGAGAGUGAAAAAGUACGUGAAAUUGUUGAAAGGGAAGGGUAUUAGAUCAGACUUGGUGUUUUGUGAUUAUCUUCCCUUCUUGGGUUGUGCACUCGCAUUUCACUGGGCCAGCAUCGGUUCGGGUGGCAAGAUAAUGACAUUGGAACGUGGCACUACCUUCGGGUGGUGUGUUAUAGCCCUUGUUGAUGUUGCCUAUCUGGACCGAGGACUGCGGCUUUUGCCUAGGAUGCUGGCGUAAUGAUCUAACACCGCCCGUCUUG